rnacentral:rRNA from 1 species
GAUUAUGGCUCAGGACGAACGCUGGCGGCGUGCUUAACACAUGCAAGUCGAACGGAGCGUAGCGAUACGCUUAGUGGCGAACGGGUGAGUAACGCGUGAGCAACCUGCCCUAUACUGCGGGAUAACACAGGGAAACUUGUGCUAAUACCGUAUAAGACCACAGCCGGGCAUCCGGCGGGGGUAAAAGAACUUUGGUAUAGGAGGGGCUCGCGUCCCAUUAGAUAGUUGGUAGGGUAACGGCCUACCAAGUCAGCGAUGGGUAGCCGACCUGAGAGGGUGAUCGGCCACACUGGAACUGAGAUACGGUCCAGACUCCUACGGGAGGCAGCAGUGGGGAAUAUUGGGCAAUGGAAGGAAACUCUGACCCAGCAACGCCGCGUGAAUGAUGAAGGUCUUCGGAUUGUAAAGUUCUUUAAUUGGGGACGAAUAAAUGACGGUACCCAAGGAAUAAGCCACGACUAACUACGUGCCAGCCGCCGC